rnacentral:rRNA from 1 species
UACAGAGGGUGCAAGCGUUAAUCGGAAUUACUGGGCGUAAAGCGAGCGUAGUCGGUUAUCUAAGUCGGGUGUGAAAUCCCCGGGCUCAACCUGGGAAUUGCAUUCGAUACUGGAUAGCUAGAGUUCGGCAGAGGGAAGCGGAAUUCCCGGUGUAGCGGUGAAAUGCGCAGAUAUCGGGAGGAACACCGGUGGCGAAGGCGGUUCUCUGGGCCUGUACUGACGCUGAGGAGCGAAAGCGUGGGGAGCAAACAGG